AAAAGUUGUUUAUAUUAUAAGUACAAUAACGUGUUUAGAUAUCGUUCACUAAUUACCAGUCACCCUAUAUAGUACUGUUGUACAUACCCUUUACUUUUACAUAGACGUAAUGAUAUUAAAUGACAUGUAACGCAUUCCAGGUUGUCAGAUGUAUUUUCUAUUGUCUUAUUAAAGUUUUAUAUGUAUUUA